GAUGAACGCUGGCGGCGUGCCUAAUACAUGCAAGUCGAGCGAACGGACGAGAAGCUUGCUUCUCUGAUGUUAGCGGCGGACGGGUGAGUAACACGUUGAUAACCUACCUAUAAGACUGGGAUAACUUCGGGAAACCGGAGCUAAUACCGGAUAAUAUUUUGAACCGCAUGGUUCAAAAGUGAAAGACGGUCUUGCUGUCACUUAUAGAUGGAUCCGCGCUGCAUUAGCUAGUUGGUAAGGUAACGGCUUACCAAGGCAACGAUGCAUAGCCGACCUGAGAGGGUGAUCGGCCACACUGGAACUGAGACACGGUCCAGACUCCUACGGGAGGCAGCAGUAGGGAAUCUUCCGCAAUGGGCGAAAGCCUGACGGAGCAACGCCGCGUGAGUGAUGAAGGUCUUCGGAUCGUAAAACUCUGUUACUAGGGAAGAACAUAUGUGUAAGUAACUGUGCACAUCUUGACGGUACCUAAUCAGAAAGCCACGGCUAACUACGUG
rnacentral:rRNA from 1 species